rnacentral:sRNA from 1 species
GCACUGGCUAACCUCGGACUUUCGAUGUGCUUUUUGCCUUGAUGCUUUGCUUUUCUAUGUGCGUCUGCUUCUGUUAACCUUCCAUCAACCUGGAGGUUUCACCAUCCCAGGGAGGUGUCAGUCUUUCUCAGUCCACCCCGUCAUUAUCCCCAGGAUGGUCUGAAAGGAAGGGUCCCUUUGGGAACUUCUCAGGACCUCGAACCCGCCACCCCAGCACCCUCUGGCCCCACAAUCGGCAAACUAGGAUGGAAGUGGCCUAGCUGGGGGGCCCUUCGAUGGGCCAAGGAGAAAACGCAGGCAGUGGCACCAGCCUCUGAAGCCGUCUCCGAGCUCCAAUAAUCUUCGCUUGCCUCCCCCCUUGAAAUGUCCCAAUGGACAGACUUUCUGUCUUCAAAGCUUCGGGCCAAACCUCUUCAAGCUUUUUAUUGUUUGGGACUGGGACGCUUAGCAAUAAUGAUGGGUAGUUCCUUUUUUAUUUGAAAGGCCUAAAAUAUAUUUUUGUGUGUGUGACUAUAAAAAAAAAAAAAAAAAAAAAAAAAAA